rnacentral:rRNA from 1 species
UGUUGGGGUUGUAGGACUCCAAUAUGGUAGUUCUUUCAGAUAGUCGAAUGACUUGGAAAAGUCAGUCAAAGAGGGUAAAAACCCCGUAGACGAAAUGUGGAAGACACCUAGGAGGAUCCUGAGUACGGCGGAACACGAGAAAUUCCGUCGGAAUCCGGGAGGACCAUCUCCCAAGGCUAAAUACUCCCUAGUGACCGAUAGUGAACCAGUACCGUGAGGGAAAGGUGAAAAGCACCCCGGAAGGGGAGUGAAAUAGAACCUGAAACCGUGUGCCUACAACAAGUCAAAGCCCGU